rfam:Schistosoma margrebowiei strain Zambia genome assembly, scaffold: SMRZ_contig0004233
ACCCAGCUGACGAGUCCCAAAAAGGACGAAACGUACCUCCUAUAU